CGGGAGGGGGUCAUCCAGCACCCUGGGGUACAGGACCAGUGUCUAUCCAUCAAAUCAUCAGUGGGUUCACAGCACAAGCUGUCCUCUUGGAAGAUUUUGUGAUGCUGAAAA